UUUGGGGCCAUGAUGGAGAAAUAUGGGGCAGGAAGUGUGUGUGACUCAUCUUUGACCAGGUGUAAUGGACAGAAGUGGCUUUUGGGAAACCAUAUCCUGCAUAUGGACUUCAAAAUAGUUCCAGCUGCUCUGCCCUUGCUGCAGCCAAGCUGCACUACAUGGGCAUGUCCUGCUGAACUUGUAUGGCUCUGAGCUGUCUUCAUCACCUGAACCUCUUCACGUUUUUCUUCAUGUACCCCUGUUAGAAACAUCUCCCACUCCAUUUUUUAACCAGGGAAUGAAAUCCCAGGCAGAAGUCCACCACAACAUCACCUGGGCUAGACAUCCCUUCAAAGAUGCCUGGAGUAUGGAGGCACUAGCUAUCAACUGGAUCUUGGCUAGGAGCUGCCUUUGUUUGUCAAGCAGCACUGAUCCCGACAUACAAGAAAACUCUAUGCAACUCCCAUGUACACAUUACACAAAGGAAACAGCUUUAAUCAACCACUGGUGAAACAUGGAAGCUUUCAAGAUCUCUGUAGCUGGCACA